ensembl:lncRNA
GUUAGUUCCUGUUGUCUAGCACUGUGAAUCAGUUAUGUGUAUACAUAUAUCCACUUUUUUAAAGAUUCUUUUUCUACAUAGGCCACUACAGAGUACUGAGUAGAGUUCCCUGUGCUGUAUGAUUUAAGUGCAAACAACAGGACUUGGGUAGUCUACCACGUGACAUAAGCAGGAGAAAAGUGAAGGUGCCUUGGACUGCACUACUACAGGAACAAGCUUUGGAAUGAGUGGGUGGAUUCUUUACUGCUGAGCCAAUUGGGUGCUGGAGAGGGGAGCUGCAUCCCAGCAUGAAGGUUGGAGGUCCAGUUUCUGGGGGAGCUCAGUGACAAGGACAGAG